GAUGAACGCUGGCGGCGUGCCUAAUACAUGCAAGUCGAGCGAACGGACGAGGAGCUUGCUUCUCUGAUGUUAGCGGCGGACGGGUGAGUAACACGUGGAUAACCUACCUAUAAACUUGGGUAACUUUCGGAAACCGGGGCUAAUUCCCGAUAAUUUUUUUAACCCCAUUGUUCAAAUGGUAAAAACCGGCUUUCUUUCCCCUAUUGAUUGAUUCGCCCGGCAUUAGCUAGUUGGUAAGGUAACGGCUUACCAAAGCAACCAUGCAUAGCCGACCGGAGAGGGUGAUCGGCCACACUGGAACUGAGACACGGUCCAGACUCCUAAGGGAGGCAGCAGUAGGGAAUCGUCCGCAAUGGGCGAAAGCCUGACGGAGCAACGCCGCGUGAGUGAUGAAGGUCUUCGGAUCGUAAAACUCUGUUAUUAGGGAAGAACAUAUGUGUAAGUAACUGUGCACAUCUUGACGGUACCUAAUCAGAAAGCCACGGCUAACUACGUG
rnacentral:rRNA from 1 species